CCUACGGGGGGCAGCAGUGGGGAAUAUUGCGCAAUGGGCGAAAGCCUGACGCAGCGACGCCGCGUGAGGGAUGAAGGUCUUCGGAUCGUAAACCUCUGUCAGCAGGGAAGAACGGUCACUGUGCUAAUCAGCAGUGAAUUGACGGUACCUGCAAAGGAAGCACCGGCUAACUCCGUGCCAGCAGCCGCGGUAAUACGGAGGGUGCGAGCGUUAAUCGGAAUUACUGGGCGUAAAGCGCUCGUAAGCGGUAGGUCAAGUCAAGGGGGAAAUCCCCGCGCUCAACGUGGGAACUGCCUUUGAAACUGGCAAACUGGAGUGUGUGAGAGGAUAGUGGAAUUCCAGGUGUAGGAGUGAAAUCCGUAGAUAUCUGGAGGAACAUCAGUGGCGAAGGCGACUAUCUGGCACAUAACUGACGCUGAGGAGCGAAAGCGUGGGUAGCAAACAGGAUUAGAUACCCGAGUAGUC
rnacentral:rRNA from 1 species